AUGUACAUUCCUACAACAUAGUGUUAAUGCAGCGGAUCCCAUUAGAACUCCGUUGUUAAGCGUGCUUAGGCUAUAGUAGUACUGAUAUGGGUGACCACCCAGGAAGUCCUAGUAUUUUACAUG
rfam:Picea glauca, whole genome shotgun sequence.